UUCAGUAUUGCCAUCUACUAGGUUAUUUUACAGUUUUUUCAUGGUUUUGCAUGGACAGCACUUAUUUCUUCUAUUAUAGAAUACAUUUCCUUUUGUAUUAAAGGAGGAAGAAGCCAGACGACAGUCAGGAGCUCAGUAUGGCUCUUUUCCAGGUGGCUUUCCUGGGGGAAUGCCUGGUGGUUUUCCUGGAGGAAUGCCCGGAAUGGGAGGGGGCAUGCCUGGAAUGGCCGGAAUGCCUGGACUCAAUGAAAUUCUUAGUGAUCCAGAGGUUCUUGCAGCCAUGCAGGAUCCAGAAGUUAUGGUGGCCUUCCAGGAUGUGGCUCAGAACCCAGCAAAUAUGUCAAAAUACCAGAGCAACCCAAAGGUUAUGAAUCUUAUCAGCAAAUUGUCAGCCAAAUUUGGAGGUCAAGCAUAAUGCCCUUCUGAUAAAUAAAGCCUUUGCUGAAGGAAAAGCAACCUAAAUCACCUUAUGGAUGUCACAAUAAUACAAACCAAUGUACCUCUGACCUUCUCAUCAAGAGAGCUGGGGUGCUUUGAAGAUAAUCCCUACUCCUCUCCCCCAAAUGCAGCUGAAGCAUUUUACAGUGGUUUGACAUUAGGGUAUUCAUUCAGAUAAUGUUUUCCUACUAGGAAUUACAAACUUUAAACACUUUUUAACUUUAAAAAUAUUUAAAACAAAUUUAAAGGGUCUGUUAAUUCUUAUGUUUUUCUUUACUACUCAUUUUGGAUUUUUUUUUUUCUUUGAAUUGGGCAGGGAAGAUACUGAAUGUAUAGAAGAUUUUUGCUCUAAUUUGAGUGAAAUAAAAGUUUAUUAGUGUGAGGCAAACAUAACUCAUUUGAGGAUAAAGUUUGUGUUGGAUAUGUGGUUCCUAAAGCAUUUUUACUUGUCUUCUUAAAUGCUUUAUCUUUUUCUCUAAAGAUUUGUUUCAAUAAAACUAAUUGGGACCACCACUAUUUCAGUAGGACCUGGGUAGAGACUGGAAGUACUUGGCAGGGCAGCAGCAAUCUUGCUGUGUUUCAUAUAACAUGCAUCCUUGGGCAGGUUGUCCUUAAAUCUUACACUGUGGUGAAGGGAUGAUUUUUUUGUAAUGCUGCAGCAGAGUACUUAGUUCUGUUCUUGUCUAGUAUAGCUAAUAAAUGUAUCAUAUUAUUUCCACAUAGGAGAAAUAAGGGAGUACUUUUCUUCUUAUAUUUCUAUGCUUAAAAUUCUCUUUCCUAGUCAAAAAAUGCCCAACUCUGUGUCUGCUUUCUGCUUGUUAAGGUUUUUCUCCCUGACUUUUCUUGGGCUAAAGACAGGCCUUUUCCACAAGUAUCAUCACUGCUAUCAUCAUUAACAGCAUAAUUAUGCAAGCAUAUUUAAUGCUGAGUUUAAUUUAAUAUGUAAUACAUAUGGUAAUUGUAGGGUAAUACCCAUAACAACUGUAGUUUCUUACUUGGCCAUGAGAAUGCUUAUUUAAGUUCCACUCUGGCAAAAUCUUGUCAUAUCAAAAGACAUUGGAAAGAGGGAUUCCCUUUGGUGUUUGGUCUUCUACUUAGAAAAUACCUAUUGCAGUUAGAGUUUAUCUUGUAGUAUUCAUCUUUGUAUUUUGAAGUUAAUAAGGUUUGAAUUAAAUUGAUAUACAGAGGGGAACCCAUUUUUUUUGAUCCAAUGUAAAUUAUACAUGAGAUAAUCCACAGUUACUCAUUGUGGAAUUGUUGAGACUAUGAAAGACUCAAUUGUCUUUGUAUUCAGCUCUAACUUAAAUAGUGUAACAAUACCCCCACCUCUGCUUGCUUGCUUUCCCUUCCCUCCAAUGAUAAAGAAAAUGAGAAAUUUUCUGUUGUGCAUUCAAUUCUUAUUUUAAAUAAGACUAAGUAUAGGCAUUGUACCUGACAUUGCUACGUUUCUACCAAUGUUUCAACUUAAAGUGCUAGUGUUUAAAAACAUUUUCAAGGGAUAAGACCUUCCGUACUUUGCUUAUUUGAAGAAUCAGUGGUAGGAGCAGUGAAGUAAAUUCUAUGGAGUACAUUUCUAAAAUAGCACAUUUCUGAAAUCAUAAAUAAGUUUAUUCAGGUUCUAACCCUUUUGCUGUGCACAAGCAGACAGAAAUGCUUCUGUUACGUAAAUGAGAAAAAGCUAUUAUGCUGAUAGAGCAUGCUUUUAAAAUCCUUUAAAAACACUUACCGUAUAAACUUGCGUUUGAGCUAGCGUGUUUUAUUAAUGUGUGUCCUCCUUUCUCAGAAUUGCCAGUGUGUACUUGGCUUAACAACAGUUUUUUCUGGAUUCCUUAUUUGAUUUAUUUAACCUAAUUAUGUUCCGAUAUUGCAAAUAUUACCAUAAGUGGGUAAAAGUAAAAUUCCUUUUCUGAAAA